rnacentral:lncRNA from 1 species
UCAACUAUAUAUGUUGUAUAGACGCAUUGUUAGCUGUACAUGUCUGCCUGGCAUGGUUCAUCUGACCGUGACCUGAUUUUCAAGGUUCAUUGGUCUUUGUUUAGUUAUCUUGGUUAAUGUUAAGUUUAUGUGACAGUUGUAAUAAAGCUUAGCUUUAUACUUAGGACUAUCAACAUAAUAUUAAUGAUUAGUAUAGAAGGCGAGACAUUUCAGCGUGUGCACUCUUGUUCAGCUACAUGUGUCGUCAACUGGAAUCUGUCAAAAUUAUGACCAAAAAAAAAAAAAGAAAUGGUUCGGAACUAAAAUUCUACUUAAUUUUCAAAAAUUAAGAGCUUAUAAAUCAAAGAGUCGCACUCAUAAAAUGAAAACAACACCUUAUUUCGUGCGUCUUUUCUGGAUAUGCCUUAGUAGACUUUUUGUAAUUAAAAAAAU